rnacentral:rRNA from 1 species
UACAGAGGUGGCAAGCGUUGUUCGGAAUUACUGGGCGUAAAGGGCGCGUAGGCGGCCUUCUAAGUCAGACGUGAAAUCCCCAGGCUUAACUUGGGAACUGCGUCUGAUACUGGGAGGCUUGAGUGCGGGAGAGGGAUGUGGAAUUCCAGGUGUAGCGGUGAAAUGCGUAGAUAUCUGGAGGAACACCGGUGGCGAAGGCGGCAUCCUGGACCGACACUGACGCUGAGGUGCGAAAGCGUGGGGAGCGAACAGG